UACCACGAGCGUCCGUGAAUGGGGAACCC
rnacentral:sRNA from 1 species